UUAGAAAGGUUUUUACUUCGAAUGUGCACGGCUUGUCCACAUGGCUGAGAUUAGUGCUCAAUACUCAUAUAAUGCUUUUCAUCCUCAAAAGGACUUUACAAGCUCCAGCCCUCAAAACACCCCCACAAGUUACUGGAUGGCUUCUUCCUGGAAGAAUGGAUGGAACACAAAUCGAUGGAGUCUGGUAUUGCUAAUUUAAGGAGAAGCUGGGGCAGAUGUUGACGUGAGAUCUGGAGCACACCUUCGCGGUGGGGGUACCAGGACAGAAGAACUCCCAUCACCGCUUUUACUCUGAGGGAUGAGGAGCAGGCCUGUACCGUGGUCAGGAGCACAGAGGAGGUUUGUGUAGAUGUUCCAGAGCUUCAGAAACACACACUUGACCUUCGAGAGUUGCUGCUGAUUUGUUCAGUGCUCACACAGUGUGCAGCACAGGCCUCCUGGGUGCUGCUGCAGUACAGCCACCUUUCCUUUUGUUUGGGCACCUUUAUCAGUACAGCUAAAGGGAACACUGUGUGGACUGUGAAUUCCUCUCCAAGAUCAUGUAAAUACUUGGACAGUACAUGCUGUUUCUCUAGUAUUAAUCUAACUAAUUAAAACUGGUUUGCAUACAUCUGCAGCUACAGCAGAAGUUUAAUGAUAAAUAUUCCCAAAUGU